ACAUCAGUAGUUUACUGGUAAAAUUCAUCAUUGCCAUCGAUGAGAUCCGCGUUCGAUUCGCGGCUGAUGCA